CAACUGUUGGCCUUGUUCUUGAACAAGGAACGUGGAACAUCAACGUCUACCAACUACACAAACCAAUGGAAACAUUAGUGCAAGCUUAUGCAAUCUUGGAGAGAAUGUGAAGAGGAAUUUGAUAAUGGAACCAAAGGGUGAACUGCAAACCAUGAUCAAUCGGGAGUACUUCUCCAAAAAGAAAACAGGUUCAACAGGGCUUGGUUUCUAUGAAAAUAUCGAACACUUGGCGAAACCCCAAAAGAACACCUGUGACUAAACCACAGACAAAGAAGGCUCUCGGUGCUAAGCAGUGCAGCAAGCAAGUAGCACACACUGACACACAUGUUGCAAUCUUAUUCAUGAUUACUGAACAUGUAGCCGUUAAACUUCGGUGUUUUAGCACAGAAAUGGUACCUUGAAACGCUUUGAGUACUCGAGAAGAGUUGUUUGGUAGCACUCCUGGCAUAUCGAGGGAGGCACCUCCACGCUGAACUUAACCUGCAAAGCAGCAUACCACGGCCAUUACAAUCGAG